rnacentral:misc_RNA from 3 species
AACGCACAUUGCGCCCGCCAGUAUUCUGGCGGGCAUGCCUGUUCGAGCGUCAUUUCAACCCUCAAGCCCCAGUGGCCUGGUGUUGGGGACCGGCGACCUCGCCCGGGGGAACACCCCCGGCGCGUCCGCCGCCCCCGAAAUGAAUUGGCGGCCCCGUCGCGGCCUCCUCUGCGUAGUAGCACAACCUCGCAGCGGGAGCGCGACGCGGCCACUGCCGUAAAACGCCCAACUUUUUUUAGAGUUGACCUCGGAUCAGGUAGGAAUACCCGCUGAACUUAA